rnacentral:lncRNA from 1 species
UCUUUGGCUCUCUCUAUGUGUGUUUUUUUUCUUUAUAAUGGUAACCUUAAUAAUAAAUUUUUAUAAUUAUAAAAUUAGGAUGUCUGAGAAUAAACAAAUACUAUAAAUUAGAUGUUUCAAUUGUGAAACUAGGUGAAAGAAAAGUGAAAUUAGAGGAGAGAAGAAAUAGAUUUGGAAAUAAAAAAAUAAAUUGGAAAAAAAACUAUUCAAAAGUAAAAAUAAAAAACUCAAAAAAAAAACAAUAAAAUAAUUUAAGAUAUUAAUACAUCA